GCGGCUUGCGUCGGCGGCACGUAUACUAAAAUUGGAACAAUACAGAGAUUAGCAUGGCCCCUGUGCAAGGAGGGCACACACAUUCGUGAAGCAUUCCAUAUUAAA
ensembl:snRNA U6 U6 spliceosomal RNA